GCCCCGCCGGCGCUGCCGGGGGAGUGGUUUCCCCGCGCUGGCAGUGGCGGGGCCGGUCUGCGGGCGGGGAGGUGCCGCGGCGGCGGUGCCAGCGCCCGGCCCGGGAGGAUGCGGACUCGCUGACGGAGCUGCCGGCUCCCCUCUGCCGCCGUGCAUGGGCGGCGGGCGGCUGCCGUCUCGCCUCGCCUCGCCUGCCCCGCCGGCACUUUCAGGACUUAACAGAGUUUGCACACCACUUUGUCAGCGACGUGAACGCCUGCAGCAAGGACAGUUUCUGGAAGCGUGAUCCAUUGAUGUGAUUGAAGCAUGACAGAGGUGAUGAACACACGGGAACCGGUGAUGGAGGAAUUUGCACUCAGCCAGACUCCUGAGGAAGAAGGAGGCCCUUCAAGUCAGGCCUUCCCAGACUCACGUGAGAAGUACCCCAAGCUGUCCAAAAGACUGCCAUCGAUCGUAGUGGAGCCAACCGAGUCCGGGGACGUGGAGAGUGGGGAGCUGCGCUGGCCUCCUGAUGACCUGAAAUCAGCAGAGGACAAGGGGCUUCAUGGUGACCAAAGAGUCUGUGUCCAGCAGCAGCAGCAGCAGAUGGAUCUGGAAGAUACUUUAGCGCACCCAGCUCAAGAAGUGGAAGGCAGUACAGAUACUCUGGAAGGCAGAACUGAAGAAGAUGAGUAGAAACUCCGUGGCCUCAGAAGUGAAACUUCAAAUUGUGAAUGUUGUUGGAAAGCUAACACACUUUGAAGACAUGUCAAAGUAACCUGUAUUUAAAUCUGCAAGGGUUUUAUUUAGUUAGUACCUGGUAAGAAGCAUCUGGGCUUUAGAACUGUUCUUUUAAACAUCUUGAUUUUCAGGCUGGGAUUCAUAUCAUUUGUUUAAUUUUUCCUUGGGAAACAAUGGGGCGUGUUAGAAAAUACGAGAUUAUCAAGGGAAAAAUGCUCCUAAUUUCAAUUAGCACAUUUAAUUGGUUUUACCUUUUUCAAGCAAGGCUGCUUUCAGGUAUCAACAGCAGGACAAAGGGGUUACAUUUCUACAGGAGGGAUGUCUUAAACCUAAAACCUUUCUUGUUUUUAGCCAUUUAAAACUAGCACUGUGAUAUUAUGGACAAUAGAUGUAAUAUAAUGUCACCAUUUGGUUUUGUAACUUUUGUAUAGAGACGCAAGUGUAAGAUUUGCCUCCAGGCUGCCUUCCCGGGGCGGCCCAGAGCAGUUCUCUCCCUUUGGCUAACUUGUGCAAAUUUGGAUGAACCAGCCUUUUCUUAGCUGCCUUUUCAGAAAAGCUUUCUCGCUGUACAUUGACGAAGCGGAUAGCUAGUCGCUGGUGUUUUUGGAGUGAGGCUGUCUGUGGUAGGCUUGGUCGGGUGGAUCGUGCUGUUCACGCGCUCUUCAGGACCAGGUCCAGCUGUGGCGUGGUGUGUGCUCCUCUCUCUUAAAGCCAACAAGGUGGAUCCCUCUUCUGCCGGGGCUGGAUUGGUCCCACCUUGUUAGUAGAACUUGUUGUGACAAUUCUUCUUUUGGUAUGUUUUGUGUAUACCACAGGCACAGAGGCCCAGCUGUUCCUUCUUUGACCCAAGCCUGGCAGUGGUUGGGGGUGGGUGACAGGAGCUCCAUAGCACAGCCCAAAACUGCCCUCAAUGUGCAUGACACCAGGUCCAUCCUGAGCCACCUGCAGUAGGAGAGGGGUGGAGAAGAGCCGAGGUGGUGGGACACACACCGCUUCCCUCCUGCACAAGAGGUGCUGCCAAGGGGAGUGCAUGUGCCAGGGUCUGCCCUCACCAGCGGCAUGGUCCCCUUGGCUUUGGAUGUACAGCCACCAUGGAGACCAGAGCUCCCAGUGGGACAAGCUGUCUUUGGACACUUCUGGAUUUUCCUUGGGCAUUUGGGGGUCAUUUUGACAGGGGUGAACCCCUUCUUGCGUGGGCACCUCCCAGAGACUCCCUCCUGCCAUCCAAGGAGAAACACUGAUCUCAGUCCAAAACACUACCCUUUCGACGGCGUUGGUGUAGAUAGAUAAUGCAUGUACUCAGAAGGGUUUCACUGUGUCGGUGACGAGUGUCCCGUCAGCUAUGAAGUUGGCUUUCUCCAUCUCUGCAGGGCUGGAUAGGGGUCUGUACUUCCAAUUAAUGUUGCAGCCGGAAGAAGCCGCUAGCUGUAGGUGGAACAAAGUAACAGGAUUUCUUCGAGCAUUAACUCCUAAGUUGACUUCCAAGUGCUUUCUUUUCUCCAGUAAUAGUUUUCUCUAAUGGCAACUUUUAAUGGUGUAAUGGUGGAUAAAAUUUACUGGCCAGAUGUAUUAAUAAGAUAAGUUUAUACCUUCUUAGCAACCAAAUUUAAUAUAUUUACUUACAAAGAAUUCUGUGCAAUGAAUGUUUAAUACAAACGAAAGAGACUAUUUUACUUCAAAGCAACAUUAAUUUAUGUACGAAACUAUAGCUCAUUAUUUGGGGUGUUUGGGAUCUAGGACCCUUUUUAUAAGCAGUGUAGUAUAGUAUAAUGUGAUACUUCAGUUAAACUUUGCUCUGUUAACCUAUAUAACAAUCUGUUUUGCCUUCUUGAUGUAGACUUUCUUACCUACACUGUCACAGAAUUAUUUUGUUGGAUGAGUGGGGUUCUGGUAAGAGCACUGGAUUCUACCAGAGUAACUGAAAGUUUCAAGAGCACCUCUUAAAUCUGGUUGCUUUGUCACCCCCUUCCCUGGUGACAGCUUUCUGGUAAAGCCAAUAAAUCAAGAACAAGCUCAAGCUACGUGUUUGGGUAGCACAUGAGCAGUGAGAGGAGGUCCUCGGCUUGGACCCAUCUGCAGCUGGUUGUGGCAGGAGGAGAGCUGCACUGGCAAGGCGGCCGGGCAGAUGCAAGGUGCUCUUUAAAUGCUACUGUUUCAUUGACCGUCAAGAGGUUUUACAAAGCUCUAGGGGGGAGAAUAACGAUGGUGACGACAUAUUUUUAGCUGUGUGAUUUCCUUUCAAUCUGCAUCUGCCCAGCUCCAUGAGGAAUGACGUUAGACAUAUCACUUAAUUUGCUUUUCGCUUUAUAAAAGGAAAAACAGUUGCUUGAACACUUCCCCCAAUUUUAUGUGCUCUCUAUCUGCUUUCAGACGCUCCCUCCCUUCCUGCUCUGGAUGGCCCUUAUCCUAUUUCCACCUGAGGUCAAUGGCACUUCCCUAAAUAAGUUUUCCAAAGAAACAACAAAAUUCUACAUACACCGUGAAAAAACGCCGCACAGCACUACUUUUUUUAUCCUCCUGCGUAAAGCCACAGCCCAUACAGAAAUCCCAGAUUUCCUCCUCCCAGCCUAAUUACUGCUCUCUUUUUCUCUCCUUUGCGCUGCUCCCUUGAAGUAUUUUACCUGAAGCAAAUGGCUGCUUCAAACUAAAGCUUUCUCCUAAAGCCGUGUGGCCUCAGUUUAACAACCACGCAAAGCCAAACUCCUCCUCCCAUUUUUAUUGUUCUGAACAUGGGCCAGAGGCCCUAAAAUAAGAGAGCAAGAUAGAGAGAAAAUUGUUUUAUACAAACAAGCCCUAUUUAUUCUACUUGCAGGUCUAUGAAUGUCCACUUACUUUGUCUGUGUGCAAGUGUUGUGUCUCUAAUAAACUCAAUUAGUUGUUUUGUAUUCUUCUGGAUUAAAAGCUUUGUAGAAACUAAAAAGGGAAAAAAAGACAUUCAGUCAUAUUUUUGUAGUCAAGCUUGUAGAAUAUUUCAUGUAGUGCAGAAAGGAGGUUUUAUGGAGUAAGACAUUGUUGGAUUUUGCUCUAUUUCAGUUCUUUCUAAUUUUGUAAAAUGCCACCUGUACAUAAUACUCGACUAAUGUAUGUCCUGUAGAUGUAUUACACCAUUUAGCCUAUUAAAUGCCUAUACUGGACCGACUGGA